GCAGUUCCCCUACGGCUACCUUGUUACGACUUCACCCCAGUCACGAACCCUGCCGUGGUAAUCGCCCUCCUUGCGGUUAGGCUAACUACUUCUGGCAGAACCCGCUCCCAUGGUGUGACGGGCGGUGUGUACAAGACCCGGGAACGUAUUCACCGCGACAUGCUGAUCCGCGAUUACUAGCGAUUCCGACUUCACGCAGUCGAGUUGCAGACUGCGAUCCGGACUACGAUCGGCUUUCUGAGAUUGGCUCCCCCUCGCGGGUUGGCAACCCUCUGGACCGACCAUUGUAUGACGUGUGAAGCCCUACCCAUAAGGGCCAUGAGGACUUGACGUCAUCCCCACCUUCCUCCGGUUUGUCACCGGCAGUCUCAUUAAAGUGCCCAACU
rnacentral:rRNA from 1 species